rnacentral:lncRNA from 1 species
GAAAGAGAAAGAAGAAGAAAAAGAAAGAAAGGAAGAAGCAAAGGAAGAGAUAAGAAAAAAAGAAGAAGAAAAAGGAAAGAAUGGAAGGUAAGGAAAAAGGGCGAAGGAAGGACAGAAAGAAAGAAAGAAGAAAAAGAAAGAAAGAGAAAAAAAAAAAAGCAAUUAAAAGAAAGAAAACGAAAGGAAAGAAGAAGGGGAGAGAGACGAAGGGUACCGAUGGGACUCUCGAUCGGGAUUGCUGUCAGGCACCUGCAUCCCAUUCAAUGGAGAAAUCGAGACACCCUCAUCCCACAGGAUUUAAAACCUUGCUACUAAUUGAUUUGUCU